UGCCUCGGGGCGCAGCAGUGAGGAAUAUUGGUCAAUGGGCGCGAGCCUGAACCAGCCAAGUCGCGUGAGGGAAGACGGUCCUAUGGAUUGUAAACCUCUUUUGUCGGGGAGCAAAAGACGCCACGCGUGGCGUUCCGAGAGUACCCGAAGAAAAAGCAUCGGCUAACUCCGUGCCAGCAGCCGCGGUAAUACGGAGGAUGCGAGCGUUAUCCGGAUUUAUUGGGUUUAAAGGGUGCGUAGGCGGAGUGUCAAGUCAGCGGUAAAAUUUCGGGGCUCAACCCCGUCGUGCCGUUGAAACUGACACC
rnacentral:rRNA from 1 species